rnacentral:tRNA from 2 species
GCCGGAGUGGUGGAAUUGGCAGACACAAGGGACUUAAAAUCCCUCGGGGGCAACCUCGUACCGGUUCAAAUCCGGUCUUCGGUACCA